rnacentral:rRNA from 1 species
GUAAAGUGGCGACCGGGUGAGUAACACGUGACUAACCUACCCUACAUGGGGGAGUAACCUCGGGAAAACCGGGGGCUAAUACCGCAUAACAUCGUGAGAUCAAAGAAGCAAUUCGCUGAAGGAGGGGGUCGCGGCUGAUUAGUUAGUUGGUGAGGUAACGGCCCACCAAGACGAAGAUCAGUAGCCGGCCUGAGAGGGCGCACGGCCACACUGGAACUGAAACACGGUCCAG